rnacentral:rRNA from 1 species
AACGAACGCUGGCGGCAUGCCUAACACAUGCAAGUCGAACGAGACCUUCGGGUCUAGUGGCGCACGGGUGCGUAACGCGUGGGAAUCUGCCCUUGGGUUCGGAAUAACAGUUGGAAACGACUGCUAAUGCCGGAUGAUGACGUAAGUCCAAAGAUUUAUCGCCCAAGGAUGAGCCCGCGUAGGAUUAGCUAGUUGGUGAGGUAAAGGCUCACCAAGGCGACGAUCCUUAGCUGGUCUGAGAGGAUGAUCAGCCACACUGGGACUGAGACACGGCCCAGACUCCUACGGGAGGCAGCAGUGGGGAAUAUUGGACAAUGGGCGAAAGCCUGAUCCAGCAAUGCCGCGUGAGUGAUGAAGGCCUUAGGGUUGUAAAGCUCUUUUACCCGGGAUGAUAAUGACAGUACCGGGAGAAUAAGCUCCGGCUAACUCCGUG